CAGUCGCCGCGGUAAUACAGAGGGUGCGAGCGUUAAUCGGAUUUACUGGGCGUAAAGCGUGCGUAGGCGGCUUCUUAAGUCGGAUGUGAAAUCCCUGAGCUUAACUUAGGAAUUGCAUUCGAUACUGGGAAGCUAGAGUAUGGGAGAGGAUGGUAGAAUUCAAGGUGUAGCGGUGAAAUGCGUAGAGAUCUGGAGGAAUACCGAUGGCGAAGGCAGCCAUCUGGCCUAAUACUGACGCUGAGGUACAAAAGCAUGGGGAGCAAACAGGAUUAGAUACCCCAGUAGUCCCUGUCUCUUAUAA
rnacentral:rRNA from 1 species